UACGGGAGGCAGCAGUGAGGAAUAUUGGUCAAUGGGCGCAAGCCUGAACCAGCCAUGCCGCGUGCAGGAAGAAUGCCCUAUGGGUUGUAAACUGCUUUUAUUUGGGAAUAAACCUCUUUACGUGUAGAGAGCUGAAGGUACCAAAUGAAUAAGCACCGGCUAACUCCGUGCCAGCAGCCGCGGUAAUACGGAGGGUGCAAGCGUUAUCCGGAAUCAUUGGGUUUAAAGGGUCCGCAGGCGGAUUUAUAAGUCAGUGGUGAAAUCCUAUCGCUUAACGAUAGAACUGCCAUUGAUACUGUAAGUCUUGAAUUCGGUCGGAGUGGGCGGAAUGUGUAGUGUAGCGGUGAAAUGCAUAGAUAUUACACAGAACACCGAUAGCGAAGGCAGCUCACUAGGCCUGAAUUGACGCUCAGGGACGAAAGCGUGGGGAUCAAACAGGAUUAGAUACCCUGGUAGUCCACGCUGUAAACGAUGAUUACUCGUUUUCGGCGAUAUACAGUCGGAGACUAAGCGAAAGUGAUAAGUA
rnacentral:rRNA from 1 species